rnacentral:rRNA from 1 species
CCUACGGGGUGCAGCAGUGGGGAAUAUUGCGCAAUGGGCGAAAGCCUGACGCAGCGACGCCGCGUGAGGGAUGAAGGUCUUCGGAUCGUAAACCUCUGUCAGCAGGGAAGAACGGUCACUGUGCUAAUCAGCAGUGAAUUGACGGUACCUGCAAAGGAAGCACCGGCUAAAGCCGUGCCAGCAGCCGCGGUAAUACGGAGGGUGCGAGCGUUAAUCGGAAUUACUGGGCGUAAAGCGCUCGUAGGCGGUAUGUCAAGUCAAGGGUGAAAUCCCCGCGCUCAACGUGGGAACUGCCUUUGAAACUGGCAAACUGGAGUGUGUGAGAGGAUAGUGGAAGUCCAGGUGUAGGAGUGAAAUGCGUAGAUAUCUGGAGGAACAUCAGUGGCGAAGGCGACUAUCUGGCACAUAACUGACGCUGAGGAGCGAAAGCGUGGGUAGCAAACAGGAUUAGAUACCCCAGUAGUC